UACGUAGGGUGCAAGCGUUAAUCGGAAUUACUGGGCGUAAAGCGUGCGCAGGCGGUUUUGUAAGUCUGUCGUGAAAUCCCCGGGCUCAACCUGGGAAUUGCGAUGGAGACUGCAAGGCUAGAAUCUGGCAGAGGGGGGGUAGAAUUCCACGUGUAGCAGUGAAAUGCGUAGAGAUGUGGAGGAACACCGAUGGCGAAGGCAGCCCCCUGGGUCAAGAUUGACGCUCAUGCACGAAAGGCGUGGGGAGCAAACAGG
rnacentral:rRNA from 1 species